UACGUAGGGUGCAAGCGUUAAUCGGAAUUACUGGGCGUAAAGCGUGCGCAGGCGGUUUUGUAAGUCUGUCGUGAAAUCCCCGGGCUCAACCUGGGAAUUGCGAUGGAGACUGCAAGGCUAGAAUCUGGCAGAGGGGGGUAGAAUUCCACGUGUAGCAGUGAAAUGCGUAGAGAUCUGGAGGAACACCGAUGGCGAAGGCAGCCUUCUGGGCCAACACUGACGCUCAUGCACGAAAGCGUGGGGAGCAAACAGG
rnacentral:rRNA from 1 species